AUUGAACGCUGGCGGCAUGCCUUACACAUGCAAGUCGAACGGCAGCACGGGAGCAAUCCUGGUGGCGAGUGGCGAACGGGUGAGUAAAGUAUCGGAACGUGCCCAGUCGUGGGGGACAACGUAGCGAAAGUUACGCUAAUACCGCAUACGAUCUACGGAUGAAAGCGGGGGAUCGCAAGACCUCGCGCGAUUGGAGCGGCUGAUAUCAGAUUAGAUAGUUGGUGGGGUAAAGGCUCACCAAGCUGACGAGCUGUCGCUGGUCUGAGAGGACGACCACCCACACUGGGACUGAGACACGGCCCAGACUCCUACGGGAGGCAGCAGUGGGGAAUUUUGGACAAUGGGCGCAAGCCUGGUCCAGCCAUGCCGCGUGCAGGAUGAAGGCCUUCGGGUUGUAAACUGCUUUUGUACGGAACGAAAAGGUUUGGCCUAAUAAGCUGAGCUCAUGACGGUACCGUAAGAAUAAGCACCGGCUAACUACGUGCCAGCCGCCGCUGUAA
rnacentral:rRNA from 1 species